AGAGUUUGAUCCUGGCUCAGGAUGAACGCUGGCGGCGUGCUUAACACAUGCAAGUCGAACGAAGCACUUAUCUUUGAUUCUUCGGAUGAAGAGGUUUGUGACUGAGUGGCGGACGGGUGAGUAACGCGUGGGUAACCUGCCUCAUACAGGGGGAUAACAGUUAGAAAUGACUGCUAAUACCGCAUAAGACCACGGAGCCGCAUGGCUCAGUGGGAAAAACUCCGGUGGUAUGAGAUGGACCCGCGUCUGAUUAGGUAGUUGGUGGGGUAACGGCCUACCAAGCCAACGAUCAGUAGCCGACCUGAGAGGGUGACCGGCCACAUUGGGACUGAGACACGGCCCAAACUCUUACGGGAGGCAGCAGUGGGGAAUAUUGCACAAUGGGGGAAACCCUGAUGCAGCGACGCCGCGUGAGCGAAGAAGUAUUUCGGUAUGUAAAGCUCUAUCAGCAGGGAAGAAAAUGACGGUACCUGACUAAGAAGCACCGGCUAAAUACGUGCCAGCAGCCGCGGUAAUACGUAUGGUGCAAGCGUUAUCCGGAUUUACUGGGUGUAAAGGGAGCGUAGACGGCUGCGUAAGUCUGAAGUGAAAGCCCGGGGCUCACCCCCGCGCACUACUUCCGAAACCAUGCAGCUAGAGUGUCGGAGAGGUAAGUGGAAUUCCCAGUGUAGCGGUGAAAUGUGUAGAUAUUGGGAGGAACACCAGUGGCGAAGGCGGCUCUCCUGUACGAUGACUCACGUUGAGGCUCGAAAGCGUGGGGAGCAAACACGAUUAGAUACCCUGUUAGUCCACCCCCGUAAAACGAUGACUAUGAGGUGUCGGGGGGCAAAGCUGUUCCGGUGCCGCAGCAACCGCAAUAAGUAGUCCUCCUGGGGAGUACGUUCGCAAGAAUGAAACUCAAUGGAAUUAACGGGGACCCGCCCAAGCGAUCGAGCAUGCGGUUUAAUUAGAAGCAACGAGAAGAACCUUCCCAGGUCUGUGACAUCGAUAUAAAGGCUCCAGAGAUGGAGAGAUAGCUAUAGAGAAGCCAGGUGGUGCAUGGUUGUCGUCAGUUCGUGUCGUGAGAUGGUGGGUUAAGUCCCGCAACGAGCGCAACCCCUCUUGCCAGUCACCAGCAUUAAGUUGGGGAUUCUGCAGAGACUCCCGGUGCCAAGCCGGAGGAAGGGGGGGAGGACGUCAAUUCUUCAUCCCCCUUAUGACCUGGGCUCCACACGUGUUCCAAUGGACAGAGCAGAGGGAAGCGAAGCCGCGAGGUGGAGCGAAACCCAUAAACCUGUUCUCAGUUCGGACUGCAGUCUGCAACUCGCCUGCACGAAGUUGGAAUCGCUAGUAAUCGUGAAUCAGCAUGUCGCGGUGAAUACGUUCUCGGGCCUUGCACACACCGCCCGUCA
rnacentral:rRNA from 1 species